rnacentral:rRNA from 1 species
UACGUAGGGGGCAAGCGUUAUCCGGAUUUACUGGGUGUAAAGGGAGCGUAGGCGGCGAUGCAAGUCAGAAGUGAAAGCCCGGGGCUCAACUCCGGGACUGCUUUUGAAACUGUGUUGCUAGAUUGCAGGAGAGGUAAGUGGAAUUCCUAGUGUAGCGGUGAAAUGCAUAGAUAUCACGCAGAACUCCGAUUGCGAAGGCAGCUUACUAAGCCAUAACUGACACUGAAGCACGAAAGCGUGGGGAUCAAACAGG